rnacentral:misc_RNA from 1 species
GAUGAAGAACGUAGCGAAAUGCGAUACGUAAUGUGAAUUGCAGAAUUCAGUGAAUCAUCGAGUCUUUGAACGCACAUUGCGCCCCCUGGUAUUCCGGGGGGCAUGCCUGUCCGAGCGUCAUUGCUGCCCUCAAGCACGGCUUGUGUGUUGGGCCUCCGUCCUCCUCCCGAGGGACGGGCCCGAAAGGCAGCGGCGGCACCGCGUCCGGUCCUCGAGCGUAUGGGGCUUCGUCACCCGCUCUUGUAGGCCCGGCCGGCGCUUGCCGACACAUCAAUCUUUUUUCCAGGUUGACCUCGGAUCAGGUAGGGAUACCCGCUGAACUUAAGCAUAUCAAUAAGCGGAGGA